GACGAACGCUGGCGGCGUGCUUAACACAUGCAAGUCGAACGGAAAGGCCCUGCUUUUGUGGGGUGCUCGAGUGGCGAACGGGUGAGUAACACGUGAGUAACCUGCCCUUGACUUUGGGAUAACUUCAGGAAACUGGGGCUAAUACCGGAUAGGAGCUCCUGCUGCAUGGUGGGGGUUGGAAAGUUUCGGCGGUUGGGGAUGGACUCGCGGCUUAUCAGCUUGUUGGUGGGGUAGUGGCUUACCAAGGCUUUGACGGGUAGCCGGCCUGAGAGGGUGACCGGCCACAUUGGGACUGAGAUACGGCCCAGACUCCUACGGGAGACAGCAGUGGCGAAUAUUGCACAAUGGGCGGAAGCCUGAUGCAGCAACGCCGCGUGCGGGAUGACGGCCUUCGGGUUGUAAACCGCUUUCGCCUGUGACGAAGCGUGAGUGACGGUAAUGGGUAAAGAAGCACCGGCUAACUACGUG
rnacentral:rRNA from 1 species